AAGUCGUAACAGGGUUUCCGUAGGUGAACCUGCGGAAGGAUCAUUACCGAGUAAAGGUUGCUAUGUUUUAGCGCCAACUCCCCACCCUUUGUGUACUCAAAUUAUUCAUCUUUGGCAAAGCGAUUUUUGCUUUUUGCUGAAACCAUUGAUAGUUGAAGAUUAUGAAUGAGUCUUUGCCAAAUGGACUUAAAAGCCUUACUUCUUUAUUAAACAAUUGCUGUCUGAGUAAAAUGAAAAUAAAUCAAA
rnacentral:misc_RNA from 1 species